CCCACUCCCAGUUAGCACAUUAUUUGCGUGUUCACGCAACCUAUCAUUUACGCAACUUCCCGUUUGGCCGAUAUGCUUUUUGCCGCACAACAGGGCCAGUUCAUACACGAUAUUGUUCUCACAAAGAACGUAGCCUUCCUUGUGAUUUGUCCAGCAACUGGGCUUCUCAGAACCACAGUAGCUGGCCUUGCACAAGUUGGACAGCUUGACUGGCGCUGAAAAGGUGCCACCACUCACUCUCUUCGGUUCUUCCUACAAUGGCCAGGCGCGAAAUGACCUCGGCAUUAUCCUCACCUUCGAGAACAGCAAGCAUGCCAGGGUGAGCUGCCGUUUAGCUCAGCUGGCAUGAGACCGGUGAAGCAGCAUGAAGUACGCAGACAAAGGAAAUAAUAAAAAUGUCGCCAUGGUUU